rnacentral:rRNA from 1 species
CUACGGAGGGUCCAAGCGUUAUCCGGAUUCAUUGGGUUUAAAGGGUCCGCAGGCGGGAAAAUAAGUCAGUGGUGAAAGCCUACAGCUCAACUGUAGAACUGCCAUUGAUACUGUUUUUCUUGAGUAUAGAUGAAGUGGGCGGAAUAUAUCAUGUAGCGGUGAAAUGCAUAGAUAUGAUAUAGAACACCGAUUGCGAAGGCAGCUCACUAAACUAUUACUGACGCUCAGGGACGAGAGCGUGGGGAGCGAACAGGAUUAGAAACCCUAGUAGUCC